GUCCUGGCAGGUUACGAGCUCGGAGGCACCGGGAAACUGGUCCAGCCUGUGCGUAAACCCGCAGGAGACAGCUCACUUUCACCCUCCGCCAAGGAGCAGCAAUGGGACAGACAGGCCUGGCUGAGGUCCCUCAACUUCCCGCCUGCGCAGGGCACCUGCGGGUCACUUCCUAUGGGGACAGCAGCGGCCGCCAAGUCACGCCACCCCUUUUCUCCGUGUGGGUCCUGCGUCCGGCGUCCAGUGCCGAGCCGGCCUAGAGCUCAGCUCAGGCACUCCAAGCUGCACCACCAGGCUCCAAGUCCAUCCCGCCCUCCUCACGGCUAGCGUCAGGGUGACCGCAGUGCCCCACACAGGCUCAGAAUACACGCGGACUUCGGAUGUUGUCCAGACUGUUUAAAGUAAUUGCAAAUACGAGCCAGGUGUGGUGCGCAGGACCGGAAUCCCACAGCGCUGGGAAGGCUGAGGUGAAGUUCGGAGCCAGCUUGGGCUACAGUGAGCGCAAGGCCAGCAAGACUCUAGCUCAAAACCCCCCAAAAUAAUAAAGAACAAUAAUAAUAGCAUCUGUG
rnacentral:lncRNA from 1 species